UAUAUAUAGUAGAGCUACUAUGCUAUCGAAAGUAUAGAGAUAUGGUGCUUUCGAUUUUUUAAUUCUUAGAUCAAUCCCUUUAAUUGUUUCUUAUCUUUGGAUUAAUAUUAUUAUUAUCUUGUAGGACCACUCAAUCCUAAGAGUAUUAUUUAAUCAUAGGGGAGACCGUAAUCAUCCCAACCAUACAAUUUUUAAUCAAAGGGUCAAAAAUUUAAAAACAUCAAAUCCUCUAUAUUUUCGAUAGCAUAGUAAUUCUACACUAUAUAUAUAUUAAAAAAUAUAUAAAUAUAAUAUAUUUUCAUUAUAUAUAGGCUGAGUGAAUAAUCUGAGUUUAGUUAAAAUUAGGCCAAUGUUGUUAGCCCAUAAAAACAAAUCCAAUAGACAAAUAAAAGAGCAAAAUUUUACUAAAUUUAUAUAGUUUCCUUUCUUUCUUUCUUUCUUUCUUUCACAGAGCACUAAAUUUUCAAUAUGUUUCUCUCUUUCUCUUUUUCUGUCUCUCACCCUAAGUGGCUAAGCUGGAAGCCCUCUAAGUUACCAAGUAACAUCAUAUGUCCGCCGUUGCCUAGCUUGCUAUUAAUUGUAUGCUUGAGAAAAUAUACAGAAUAUUUUUAAAGUAAAAAAUUAUUAUUCAUAUAAAAUUUUAAUUUUAGUUAUAUAUGAUUGGAUAAUUUAAUCCAAUAUUUAUCUAUAUAAUUUAUUUAUUUUUGACUGCAAAAAUAAAAUUGAAUAAUAUAGAGAUUGAAGGUGAAAGAAAAGACAUGUGAGGCUGAAAAAAUUAGAUAUUCAACUCAUAAAUUAUUUUUUUUCAUAUUAUAAUACUAUAUUUCAUAUAAUUAUUUUGUACUUUGAACUAUUAGACAUAUUUUUG
rnacentral:lncRNA from 1 species